rnacentral:lncRNA from 1 species
GUGUGAGAAGCUUGGAGAGUUGGGGAAAUUAUUGGAUAGAGAUUGAAAAGUGAUAGUUGAGCAUUUUUGGGAUAUUAUUCAAUUCAAAUUAGUUUCUUGAAAUUACAGGAGAUGGAGGAGGUAGGUCAUAAAUUGUUUUCUUGAUUUUAGAACUUUAUUUUUGUGCCCAGUUAGUGAAAUUUAUUUCAAUUUGCCUUGCUAACUUCAGUAGCAAGUAUCAGAAGCUACCAGCUCGAGUGUGCAGUUUUAGCCGCCAACACUACCGACAAUUUUGUUGACAUACCCCUUUCAUUCUCUGGGGUACACGGAAAAGGUGCGAAUUAAAACCAAGGGUCGACCUCUGCCUGCGAUCAGUUUCAUGAAGAACGAUGAAAAGUGUGUUGUGUUAUUGUUUUUUGUCUUCCCAGUCAAAUCCUGUCCUGCACUGAAGUCAAGCCUCUGAACACCUCAACUCAUGCCUCAUACUCUCAUUCAAUCGCUGCUGUGUACCGUUUCCAACACUGUAUGUAGCCCUCUCAUUCCCAUUACCCCUAAUAUUGUACUAUAAAUGUCUUUAUUAAAUGCUUUAGGUUAAAAUAA